rnacentral:rRNA from 1 species
UACGGGGGGGGCAAGCGUUGUUCGGAAUUACUGGGCGUAAAGGGCUCGUAGGCGGCCAACUAAGUCAGACGUGAAAUCCCUCGGCUUAACCGGGGAACUGCGUCUGAUACUGGAUGGCUUGAGGUUGGGAGAGGGAUGCGGAAUUCCAGGUGUAGCGGUGAAAUGCGUAGAUAUCUGGAGGAACACCGGUGGCGAAGGCGGCAUCCUGGACCGAUAUUGACGCUGAGGCGCGAAAGCCAGGGGAGCAAACGGG